rnacentral:lncRNA from 10 species
ACGCCGCCGCCAGGUGCGCCGGGGACUUAGGCAGUGCCGCGCCGCACGGCCCGCGCCGGUUUCCAAGGUGAAGGAGGAGGAGCCUCUGAGGGAAAGUUUCCACAGAAACUUGAGCUGGGCGCAGUGUAGCACUCGCGCCCUUGGGGGCUAGCGUUUGGCCGGAGCUACACACUCUUUACUCACGCACGCACACCGCCGUACACAGCACAAUCGUUCACCGUCCCGCCAAAGGCUCGUCUCUCGGGUUCUGCCUAGUGGAAGGAGUCGGACAACGCCGCACGUCACGGGCGUUUCGGAUUUCUUGCUUCCCAAAGGUUUGACGGCGGCCACCGGCGCCCCGGCCCAGCUCUGCUUUCCUUUGCUGACUCCUUCCUUUAGCUGUCUACCACCACUGCUGCGCUUGUGGAUGACUGCAGGAACACCGGGUACUUGCCACAAGUAUCUCUCCAGAUUCAUCAGCCUUUCACCUGUGACAAGCUCAGUCAAGAAGUGGCUCCUAAGUAAAAGCUGGGGAAGAACAAGGAAGAUAGAGCUCAGAGUAGAAAGCUGUGAAGUUCUGCACAACAGGUCCCCUUGGCCUGCUCUAACAGUUGGAAGGUGGGGGAAGCAUUCAUUUACUCAACAAAUAUAUACUGAGUGCCUUUUGCAUGCUAGGCACGCUUCUAGGGGUUGAGGACACAGCAGAGAGCACAAACAACAAUUCCAGCCCUCGUGGAGCUUACCUCUUCCACGUGGGAAAGACAGAUGGUAAAUGUAUAAGGACAAUAUAUGGACUGCUGUAUGAUUAGAAAUGCUAUGGAGAGGCUAGGAGUGCUGUCUCAUGCCUGUAAUCCCGCAGUUUGGGAGGCCAAAGGAGGAGGAUCACUUGAGGCCAGAAGUUGGAGACCCAACCUGGGCAACAUAGUAAGACCCCCUAUCUACAAAAAGUUUAAAAAUUAGCCAGGCAUGGUGGCGUGCACCUGUAGUCCUAGCUAUCCAGGAGGCUGAGGUGGGAGGAUCACUUGAGCCCACUGCAUUCCAGCCUGGGUGACAGAGUGAGACCCUGUUUUGAAAGAAAGAAAGAAAUGCUGUGGAUAAAAAUUAAGCAGAGAGGGUACAUAGAAAGUAUGAGGGGUGCUAUGUUCGGAGAGGGGUGAUGAUCAAGGAAAGCUUCUGGAGGAGGUAACAUUUGAGGAACGACUUGAGGGAGGUUAGGGAUAUCUGAGCAGACAACUUCCCAGGCAGAAAGCAUAGCAAAUGUAAAGGCCCUGAGGCAGGAGUAUGCCUAAGUGUACUAGGAGCAAUCCAGAAGGCACCAUGAAAGAAUGGAGAAGAUGAAGUCAAAGAAGUGAAAGGUGGGGGUGAUGCAGAUCAGACAGGCAUGGUAGCUCAUGUGGAAGCUUCCCGAGGCCCUCACCCAGAAGCAGAUGCUGGAGCCAUGCUUGUACAGCUUGCAGAACU